rnacentral:piRNA from 1 species
UGAUGAUGGAAGAUGGGGGUGACCCUACUGU